rnacentral:rRNA from 1 species
UACGUAGGGGGCAAGCGUUGUCCGGAAUCAUUGGGCGUAAAGAGCGCGUAGGCGGCCCUGUAAGUCCGCUGUGAAAGUCAAGGGCUCAACCCUUGAAUGCCGGUGGAUACUGCAGGGCUAGAGUCCGGAAGAGGCGAGUGGAAUUCCUGGUGUAGCGGUGAAAUGCGCAGAUAUCAGGAGGAACACCGGUGGCGAAGGCGGGUCUCUGGGCCGAUACUGACGCUGAGGAGCGAAAGCAUGGGUAGCGAACAGG